CUAUAAUUGUCAGCUAAGUGGCGCACGGGUGAGUAAUGUAUAGAUAACCUGCCCUUAAGAAAGGAAUAACAGUUGGAAACGACUGCUAAUGCCCUAUAUGCCUUUAAUACAUAAGUAUGCAAGGGAAACGCUUUAGUGCUUAAGGAUGGGUCUGUAUGGUAUCAGCUUGUUGGUGAGGUAAUGGCUCACCAAGGCUAUGACGCCUAACUGGUUUGAGAGGAUGAUCAGUCACACUGGAACUGAGACACGGUCCAGACUCCUACGGGAGGCAGCAGUGGGGAAUAUUGCACAAUGGACGAAAGUCUGAUGCAGCAACGCCGCGUGGAGGAUGACACAUUUCGGUGCGUAAACUCCUUUUAUAUAGGAAGAUAAUGACGGUACUAUAUGAAUAGGCACCGGCUAACUCCGUGCCAGCAGCCGCGGUAAUACGGAGGGUGCAAGCGUUACUCGGAAUCACUGGGCGUAAAGAGCGUGUAGGCGGGUAUAUAAGUCAGAAGUGAAAUCCAAUAGCUCAACUAUUGAACUGCUUUUGAAACUGUAUACCUAGAAUGUGGGAGAGGUAGAUGGAAUUUCUGGUGUAGGGGUAAAAUCCGUAGAGAUCAGAAGGAAUACCGAUUGCGAAGGCGAUCUACUGGAACAUUAUUGACGCUGAGACGCGAAAGCGUGGGGAGCAAACAGGAUUAGAUACCCUGGUAGUCCACGCCCUAAACGAUGUACACUAGUUGUUGUGAGGCUCGACCUUGCAGUAAUGCAGUUAACACAUUAAGUGUACCGCCUGGGGAGUACGGUCGCAAGAUUAA
rnacentral:rRNA from 1 species